ACAGCAAACAGUUGAGUGGUAGAUGUGCAAAAACAUGCUGCACAUUGGGUCAGUAGCUAUAACACUCCUUUACAGAGCCCACAACAAUCCCAGCAUCAGUCUGAAGUUGAGCUCAGUCUUGGAUCUUUAUGUGGAAGUCAAGGUAGCACUAGGACCCAGGCAAAGGGGCGGGACGCUCACCUGUGCUUUUCUUCCUGCAUUGAAACACACCUGGGAGAGCAGCUGAGGCCAGCCUGUGUGUGGAGUUUGAUGAGGACUAAAGCUUGGAGUGAUUACGACACAUCAGCCAAAAACAGAUUCCAGUCACCUGCAUGUCUCCAACUGGAGAAGGGCUUGUUCCACUUUAGCCAGUAACAUUAUUGACUUUCACAUUGCACAUGUCUUAUAAUAUUGUUUCUUGUAAAGUUUUCUUUGGUAUAUUAAUGUGCUUCUGUUUCUUUUAGUUUUUCAACAAAGCCACUUUUAGAGGAGCAAACCACAGUUUUUUCUCUGAUUUAUUAGAUUUUAGUUUGCCUUUAAUUCAUCACUUGAAUUAUGAGUUGUGUGAAGUUGUCUGCUGUAUUAAAAUAGGGGCCGAGUGGUAGUUGAGCCAUCUUGCAUGUGUGCUUUAUUGUGUGCUUUAAGUCAGCUUACCUUGCUGUUAGUGUGUAAUUCAUUGUUGGAGAACAGUUUUGAUUUGAUUCAAAUUGGUUUGUGUGUCAUGGUGGUUUAGUCAUAAUUUUUGUGACGAUAUCCUCUUUUCAUGCAUAACUCCACACUAGCCCCCCCUGACCGUUCAGUCUAGUCCCAUGUUGUUUAUUCUCUUUUUGUUCAUUUCAUGGUUGAUUUGAUUUCUGUAUUCAUUAGAUCAUUUACUGCCCCUAGUGGAAUGGAGACCAGUAUUUCAUUGAAUGCCUUGUAAAUAAAAUCUAUAUUUUUGUACAGCAGUCUCUGGUUCCAGUUGAUUGUGGGUCUUCUGUAUUGUGUACCACUUGGUCACAUUAAGUUUUGAAUCUUUUCACAUAUCACGCAGUUUGUUCUAAACUCCACCAGAGGGCUGCUCUGAAUUUAUUGGAGUGUGUUCAUGGUAAACAUGAG